rnacentral:rRNA from 2 species
CGCCUUGCCAGCCCGCUCAGAACUUAAAUGAAUUGACGGGGGCCCGCACAAGCGGUGGAGCAUGUGGUUUAAUUCGAUGCAACGCGAAGAACCUUACCAGGGUUUGACAUGCUGGUGGUAGAAACCUGAAAGGGUGACGACCUUCGGUUUUCCGAGGGAGCCAGCACAGGUGCUGCAUGGUUGUCGUCAGCUCGUGUCGUGAGAUGUUGGGUUAAGUCCCGCAACGAGCGCAACCCUUACCCUUAGUUGCGACCAGGUAAUGCUUGAGCACUCUAAGGGGACUGCCGGUGACAAACCGGAGGAAGGUGGGGAUGACGUCAAAUCCGCAUGGCCCUUAUGUCCUGGGCGACACACGUGCUACAAUGGCCAGUACAGAGGGUUGCGAACCCGCGAGGGGGAGCCAAUCCCAAAAAGCUGGCCCCAGUUGGGAUUGCAGGCUGCAACUCGCCUGCAUGAACGCGGAAUCGCUAGUAAUCGCGUAUCAGCUACGGCGCGGUGAAUGCGUUCCCGGGCCUU